GACGAACGCUGGCGGCGUGCUUAACACAUGCAAGUCGAACGAAGUGGCGAACGGGUGAGUAACGCGUAAUCAACCUGCCCUUCAGAGGGGGACAACAGUUGGCAACGACUGCUAAUACCGCAUCCUGUAGGAGGGGAUUGCGUCUGAUUAGCUAGUUGGAGGGGUAACGGCCCAACAAGGCGAUGAUCAGUAGCCGGUCUGAGAGGGUGAACGGCCAAAUUUGGAAUGGGAAACGGCCCAGACGCCUACGGGAGGCAGCAGUGGGGAAACUUCCGCAAUGGACGAAAGUCUGGCGGAGCAACGCCGCGGGAGUGAUGACGGCCUUCGGGUGGUAAAGCUAUGUUAAUCGGGACGCGGUACCGGAAUAGAAAGCCACGGCUAACUACGUGCCAGCAGCCGCGGUAAUAC
rnacentral:rRNA from 1 species